CUAAAAUAGCUGGAAUUACCGGCAGAUUGGUAGUGGUGAGCCUAUGGUUUUCUGAAG
rnacentral:sRNA from 1 species